rnacentral:rRNA from 1 species
GAUGAACGCUAGCGGCAGGCCUAAUACAUGCAAGUCGAGGGGUACAGAGAGCUUGCUCUCUUGAGACCGGCGCACGGGUGCGUAACGCGUAUGCAACCUACCUUUAUCUGGGGGAUAGCCCGAAGAAAUUAGGAUUAACAUCGCAUAAAAUCACAGAACGGCAUCGUUCAAUGAUCAAAUAUUCAUAGGAUAGAGAUGGGCAUGCGUGCCAUUAGUUAGUUGGCGGGGUAACGGCCCACCAAGACCGCGAUGGCUAGGGGAUCUGAGAGGAUGGCCCCCCACACUGGUACUGAGACACGAACCAGACUCCUACGGGAGGCAGCAGUAAGAAAUAUUGGUCAGUGGAGGCAACUCUGAACCAGCCAUGCCGCGUGCAGGAAGACAGCCCUCUGGGUCGUAAACUGCUUUUAUUCGGGAAUAAACCUGCUUACGUGUAAGUAGCUGAAUGUACCGAAGGAAUAAGGAUCGGCUAACUCCGUGCCAGCAGCCGCCGUAACAC